CAGUACAGUACAGUCUGUCAACCUGAUACACAAUUCCCCAAUGCUAUGACAGUACAGUACAGUCUGUUGAAACUUAGUACAAUUUGAAAUACUAUUUUGACAGUACAGUACAGUCUGUUACCUUCAUACAUUGUUACUGUGGAGUAUCGGCUCAAAACACCUUAAAAGUUAUAGCAAGCACUUAGGUUACAUCUUAGAUUAUAGCAAGCACUUAGGUUACAUCUUAGAUUAUAGCAAGCACUUAGGUUACAUCUUAGAAUAUAGCAAGCACUUAGUUAGUAAAUCAAACAGAAGAAGAAAGGUGAAGGUACGUGACCUUUUCUUCAUAUUUUGUUAGCCAGUUAGGGUUAGGUUAGGGAUAGGUUAGGGCUAGGGUUAGGGAUAGGUUUUUUAUUCUUACAGCCUAAACUUGACUACGAUGAUUCUUCACGCGAGUUUUUCGAUGGAAUCACGUCUGCACGUGUUUAUUUAAUCGCGUCUUCACGUGUUUAUUUUAUCGCGUCUUCACGUGUUUAUUUUAUCGCGUCUUCAUGUUUUUAUUUAAUCGCAUCAAGUGGGAAGAUAUUUCAAUUGGAGUUGGCCACUGUCAUCUGGGUAAGCCACAUUUGUUUUUUUUCAAUUGUUUCAUCAAAAAUAUAUAAUAUCAAGCUGGUUCUAAUGGCUGUCCAUAAAUGCCAUGACAACUUUUAACCUUCGACUAAAGAUCAGGUAAUAUCUAUACUAUUGCUAUUAUGUCCACAAAUGAAUGUGUAAGUAUAUAAAUGUUUGUUCUUAUUGCAGCCAUUACCUUUAGAAAACCUAACACACAGGAUUAAGCAAGCAGUUCCAUGAAGGAAGAAAGUGUUUCUGCCUUUAAUUGAUGGCAAAUGUCAUAUGGGAGAAAAGCAAGGCACUUGGUAAGCAUCAAUGGAUAUCAGGUAUACUAGAGAUGUUAAAUCCAAUUUGUUGGAGUUAUUUAGCAGUGUAAAGCAUUGCCUUUUAGGAAAUGAAAUAUAGUCAAAGUGACAAUCAUUUCUAUAAUGGUAAUGUGAACUGACAUUUUUCGCGCGAAAACUUGUUAAAUCCACUGCAUUACGUGAUCAUUUAACGCGUCGAAGCAGAAGAUAUUUGCAGUGGUGGUGUCCCCUGUUAUCUUGGUAAGCAACAUUUUUUCAUACAUUCAUCUAAAACAACAAUGAUGUAGCAAUUAUUUUAUAAAUGUAAGUCCAUAAAUGACAUACUAUACUUAAAAUACACAAAGUAAUAUCCAUUAUGCUUUUAAAUUGCAUUGAGUAGAUUAUGUAUCUCACAAGACAAGUGACAUACCCUCUAGAAUUUUUAUUGUUUCUUCUUUUUUCAGGCAUUACCUAUGGUUCCCAAG